rnacentral:lncRNA from 1 species
GUUUGAAGAGUGUGCGUGUGUGUGUAACAGUGUGUUUGAGAGAGAGAGAGAGAGAGAGACCUUUGUGUAUGUUCGCAUACGCUGAAUCUGGUUUGGCCACAACCCACUAUUUAAAACACCAGCCUCAUUGAUCCCAGCAUCAUUUGAACAACUGGCGUUAAAUGACAUCUUUGGCAACCCAAAUGUUUGAGAAUUGAUUCCAGCAGAGCAAAAUUCUGUUUCAUUAUCCCUUGGAUUACCACUGUAAUUAGAGAGCAAGUUUUGGAUAUCCUUCCCGGAAUCACAACCCCUUGACAACAAAGCAUCAGGUGUCAAUCCAUCAAUACUGCUUGUGAAAGGAAGACUGCUCUGGGGAUGUGAUUGAAUGUCACCAUCCAAGCCAGCAAGAGAAAAGUUCUGCCGCCCACUAGCAUCCAAGCAAUACGAUGUUGCGCUUGAAGCUGCAUCCAAGUGAUCUUUAGCUGUAUUUCGGUAUUUAGGCUGCUUCGGUCCUUUAUAACUAGGUAAAUCACUUUUUAUUAGGAUAUCAGCCUUGCUAUGAGACUCUGGAGCUAAACUAGGAACAGGAUGAAUAACCGAAUUAUCAAGUAAUGCAGCUGAUCCCAAUUGAUUUCUGUUCAGAAAGUUCGACAGCGAAGCUUGCAUAUUGUUUGUACAAGGUGCGAUUGAACAUGAUGGGCCAGCCGCAUCAGCUGGUUCGGAAUGUGAUUUGACAGUGAACGUAGACUUUUGCUGGCUGUAGAGUUGGUUGACAGGAAAUUGUGGUGAUUGCACAAGUGUUGAUGCUGAAAAGCCGGUGCUGCUGAAAUGCUGAGCUUGCUGGUUUUGUUGAAGAGCCUGUUGUUGUUGGGAAAACGGAGGCUCCAAAAAAGAACUUACAGGGGACGGCACCUGUUGCAGCUGCUGUUGCUGCUGAUGUUUCUGGAGAAUCUGCAUUUGCAGCUGAUGUUCCGAAAUACUCUGUUGUGAUGUCUGUUUCCCUUGUGGCUUUUGUAUUGAGAUUGGCUGCGGAAAUUGUGGCCGAGUUUGUUGCAUUUCUGUCUGCUGUUGCUGGGGCCUCUGCACAAGGCUAGAUGGUUGUUCAAUAUGUUGCUGAAACUGAGUGUCCUGAGGUAAAGAUAUCAUGGGUACUGUACUUUUGUUUGCUGAGGGAACAUUUUGCUGCAUUUGUGUAUUGCCUCUUAUUAACUGUUGUUGCUGAAGUUGUUGGGAGAUAAUUGCUGUUUGCUGUGAAUUUUGAUAUGGAUUCUGGUCAGGAGCUACACCAUUAUUUAUAGGGUUUAUAGAAGACGUUAACAUUUGCUGCAGCGGCUGCUGUUGGGGCCACGCAGAAGACGGCUGCUGUUGAAGUUGUCCAACUUGUUGAUUGAUUUUGCUGAGUUGGAGAUUUUGGGAAGCAAAGGCCGGGGAUUGGAAAUUCAACAGCUUGGAGCAGUCGUCAGUUCCAAGGUUACCGUGUAGGUUAGUUGAAGAGAGCCCGUCCGGGAAAAGUCCAGACUGAUUAGCUGUGAACUGUUGAUUCUGCUGCAUGUUCAUCCACUGAACUAAACUCAUCCCGGGGAAUAUGAAGCUUGAGGUAUCUUUUAAACCAUAGUCCUCUCCAAUCAAGGGCAUGCCUCUCUUGAAAAUAUUCUCUAUAUCGGAAUCAUCAUCUGUAAAAACACGAGUUUGAGGAAA